GAUGAAUGCUGGCGGCGUGCCUAAUACAUGCAAGUCGAGCGAACAGACGAGGAGCUUGCUCCUCUGACGUUAGCGGCGGACGGGUGAGUAACACGUGGAUAACCUACCUAUAAGACUGGGAUAACUUCGGGAAACCGGAGCUAAUACCGGAUAAUAUAUUGAACCGCAUGGUUCAAUAGUGAAAGACGGUUUUGCUGUCACUUAUAGAUGGAUCCGCGCCGCAUUAGCUAGUUGGUAAGGUAACGGCUUACCAAGGCAACGAUGCGUAGCCGACCUGAGAGGGUGAUCGGCCACACUGGAACUGAGACACGGUCCAGACUCCUACGGGAGGCAGCAGUAGGGAAUCUUCCGCAAUGGGCGAAAGCCUGACGGAGCAACGCCGCGUGAGUGAUGAAGGUCUUCGGAUCGUAAAACUCUGUUAUUAGGGAAGAACAAAUGUGUAAGUAACUAUGCACGUCUGGACGGUACCUAAUCAGAAAGCCACGGCUAACUACGU
rnacentral:rRNA from 1 species